UACGUAGGGGGCAAGCGUUGUCCGGAUUUAUUGGGCGUAAAGAGCUCGUAGGUGGUUCGGUAAGUCGGAUGUGAAAUCUCCAGGCUCAACCUGGAGGGUCAUUCGAUACUGCCGUGACUAGGGGUCGGUAGGGGAGUGUGGAAUUCCUGGUGGAGCGGUGAAAUGCGCAGAUAUCAGGAGGAACACCCGUAGCGAAGGCGGCACUCUGGGCCGAUACUGACACUGAGGAGCGAAAGCGUGGGGAGCGAACAGG
rnacentral:rRNA from 1 species